rnacentral:rRNA from 1 species
UACAGAGGUCUCAAGCGUUGUUCGGAUUCAUUGGGCGUAAAGGGUGCGUAGGCGGCGCGGUAAGUCGGGUGUGAAAUCUCGGAGCUUAACUCCGAAACUGCAUUCGAUACUGCCGUGCUUGAGGACUGGAGAGGAGACUGGAAUUUACGGUGUAGCGGUGAAAUGCGUAGAUAUCGUAAGGAAGACCAGUGGCGAAGGCAGCUCGCUGGGACGUUACUGACGCUGAGACGCGAAAGCGUGGGGGAGCAAACAGG